UACAGAGGUCCCAAGCGUUGUUCGGAUUCACUGGGCGUAAAGGGUGCGUAGGUGGCUUGGUAAGUUUGAUGUGAAAUCUCCGGGCUUAACCCGGAAAUGGCAUUGAAUACUAUUGAGCUGGAGGUUUGGAGGGGGGACUGGAAUUCUCGGUGUAGCAGUGAAAUGCGUAGAUAUCGAGAGGAACACCAGUGGCGAAGGCGAGUCCCUGGACAACACCUGACACUGAGGCACGAAAGCUAGGGGAG
rnacentral:rRNA from 1 species